GGGCUUCUUUUCGGGGAGUUUAAAGGAAUGAGAGGGUUGUCACCUGUAAAGAAAGUGGAAGUAGGGUUCCUUUCGGCAAUCCGAUUGUACCUUUGUGUCCCGAUUUCACAAUUUUUAGGUGUAACGAGGCAAAAGUAGGAUUGUUGUGUCUGGGUCGGGAAGUGGAAAGAGAUUGGGGACUGUUUCAUGUAGCCGAGGAAAUCAUCCCAAGAGGUGAAAUUUUAGAAGAAAGUGCAGAUGUAAAAUAUUAUCAUCAUAGAUCGAUUCCUUUGAGAUGAUGGAAUUGGAGGGUAAUUUUGAUGCUAAUUGUUUGAUAAUUACGGAAGGGGGAGUUUUAUCAGAGGGAGCUAAACAUGUAAAGAUAAAAUUGAAGAGUCUUAAAGUUGUUUCGAGGUGUCUGUCGAAGAAAAUUCCACCAAAAAUGGUCACAAAAAUCUAUCCACAAUGCAGCUUAAAGUUAUAGUGUGUUGUGUGUAUGUGAGAAAGAAAUUGAGUUUAAUUUGCAUGUAUAGAUCAUCUAUUAUGUGUGAGUGUUUUAUUUUCAUUGUAUGUGUGUGUUUUAAUUUUCAGGGAAUAAUCUUAAGAU